GACGAACGCUGGCGGCGUGCUUAACACAUGCAAGUCGAACGGAAAGGCCUCUUUCGGGGGGUACUCGAGUGGCGAACGGGUGAGUAACACGUGAGUAACCUGCCCUUGACUUUGGGAUAACUUCAGGAAACUGGGGCUAAUACCGGAUAGGAGCUCCUGCUGCAUGGUGGGGGUUGGAAAGUUUCGGCGGUUGGGGAUGGACUCGCGGCUUAUCAGCUUGUUGGUGGGGUAGUGGCUUACCAAGGCUUUGACGGGUAGCCGGCCUGAGAGGGUGACCGGCGACAUUGGGACUAAGAUACGGCCCAGACGCCGACGGGAGGCAGAAGUGGGGAAUAUUGCACAAUGGGUGGAAGCCGGAUGCAGCAACGCCGUGUGCGGGAUGACGGCCUUCGGGUUGUAAACCGCUUUCGCUCAUGACGAAGCUUUGUGUGACGGUAGUGGGUAAAGAAGCACCGGCUAACUACGUG
rnacentral:rRNA from 1 species